rnacentral:misc_RNA from 1 species
AAAAUAAUCCUACCCUUUGUGAAUUUUGUUUGUUUGAAUAAUUUUUUUUUUUAAAAAAUUAUUGGAGUCUUUCCCUUUAGAGUUUGCUUUUGAGUUUGUAAAAGAAUUCGAAAACAUCUAAAGGGGAUGGUCAAUAAUUUUUUUUGAAAAAAGACAUUUUUUAAAAUUAAACUUUUUGUAUUCAUUUGUCUAAAAAUUAUUUUUAUAAUAUAAAAACAACUUUUGACAAUGGAUCUCUUGGUUCUCGCAACGAUGAAGAACGCAGCAAAAUGCGAUAAGUAGUGUGAAUUGCAGAAUACGUGAAUCAUCGAAUCUUUGAACGCAUAUUGCACUUUUUUAGUUUACUAAAAAAGUAUGUCUGUUUGAGUAUCAGUAAAAUAUUCUCAUAAAAAUCAUUGUGUAUUUUUAUGGUUAUGAGUGUUUUACAACGAUACAAGUUGUUUCACUUUAAAUUUUUUUUUAAUAUUGAAAUUUUUCUAAUUUUAAUAAUUAAAAUUGGAUAAAAUUUUCCCGUCAAAAGGAAUAACCUAAACAAUUUUAAACGAUUAAUUUUAGCAAAAUUUUCGUAAAAAGGAAAUUUUUAUUAAAAUAACUUGAUCUCAAAUCAGAUAAGAGUACCCGCUGAACUUAAGCAUAUCAAUAAGCGGAGGAAAAGAAACUAACAAGGAUUCCCUUAGUAACGGCGAGUGAAGCGGGAAGAGCUCAAAUUUGAAAUCUUCAAGGUUUUACCCUGACGAAUUGUAGUUUAAAGAAGUGUUUUCUGCUGAAGUUUUGGUAAAAGUUCUUUGGAAUAGGACAUCAUAGAGGGUGAGAAUCCCGUAUUUGACCAUUAUUUUCAGCUUUGUGAUACACUUUCAAAGAGUCGGAUUGUUUGGGAAUGCAGUCCAAAAUGGGUGGUAAAUUUCAUCUAAAGCUAAAUAUUGGCGAGAGACCGAUAGCGAGCAAGUACCGUGAGGGAAAGAUGAAAAGAACUUUGAAAAGAGAGUUAAACAGUACGUGAAUUGUCAAAAGGGAAGCGUUUGACACCAGUGUUGUUUUCUCGAAAAUCAAUUAAAAAUGGCUCGAUUUUGUAUUGCUGAGACCUUAAAAGCUCACUGUACAUUUUUCGUGUCUUUUUUAAUGCACUUUUCGUUUAACAAGUCAACAUCAGUUUCUUUUGUUGUAAAAGGGUCAUUGGAAGGUGGCUUUCUUUUCGGAGAAAGUGUUUAUAGCCUUUGGCCUCUGCAAUCGGAGAGACUGAGGUCUGCAGCGUAGACUCUUCGGGGUUAGAUACAUUUGUGCUAAGUUAUAGCUUUUUAUAGACAACUUGUUGACUAUAAUUAGUCUUGUAGCUUACUCGCUUAUGUUAUUUUACC